AUCCAUCUGACGAGUCUCAAAUAGGACGAAACGCGCAUCAACAUGGAU
rnacentral:hammerhead_ribozyme from 1 species